UAAAAGUUUUUUUUACAACAAAAUCUUACACAUUCCAAAGCAACUUGAACUCAUACCAUCUACAUUACACACGACUUAGUUUUUUGAAUUUUAUUAACAUAAAAUGUUUUUUGAACUUGAACUGUCAAAGUGGAGGUUAUUGUAUUAAAAUCGAACUGCUGUAGGUAGGUACUUACUUUCAAAAACUUCUGUAAACAAAAAUACUGGAAAAGUUGCAUCAUUAAUUCAUAUAUAAGUAUCAACACUACAUUCAGCGACAGAGGCAUUUUCAUUUCAAAAGCAAACUAUUUUACAUUCGCAUGAAUAAGUCUUGGCUUGAAUUAAAUUUAUUCACUGUUAUAAAAAAUAAUUUAUAGAGGCAUUACAAAUUAAGGCGAUAAGAAAAAUCAAAGAGAAAUACUACAUGAAAGUCGUAUACUACACUGUGGCAGUAACCAUCAAAUGUUUGAUGUUGACAGAAAUUUCGCAAUAUAGUGCGCACAAAACCCUGAAUUUUUCUACUUGCGAAAUUCAACUUUGGAACGCCAUCUUGAUUUUUAGCUUUUCUCAAAUAUCUCCGGUUUCUAAUGAUCGUAUAUUUUUUAUACUUGUAAUGUAAUAAAAAU